AUUGAACGCUGGCGGCAGGCCUAACACAUGCAAGUCGAGCGGCAGCGGGAAAGUAGCUUGCUACUUUUGCCGGCGAGCGGCGGACGGGUGAGUAAUGCCUGGGGAUCUGCCCAGUCGAGGGGGAUAACAGUUGGAAACGACUGCUAAUACCGCAUACGCCCGACGGGGGAAAGGAGGGGACCUUCGGGCCUUUCGCGCUCGGAUGAACCCAGGUGGGAGUAGCUAGUUGGUGGGGUAAUGGCUCACCAAGGCGACGAUCCCUAGCUGGUCUGAGAGGAUGAUCAGCCACACUGGAACUGAGACACGGUCCAGACUCCUACGGGAGGCAGCAGUGGGGAAUAUCGCACAAUGGGGGAAACCCUGAUGCAGCCAUGCCGCGUGUGUGAAGAAGGCCUUCGGGUUGUAAAGCACUUUCAGCGAGGAGGAAAGGUUGGCGCCUAAUACGUGUCAACUGUGACGUUACUCGCAGAAGAAGCACCGGCUAACUCCGUGCCAGCAGCCGCCGUAA
rnacentral:rRNA from 1 species